rnacentral:rRNA from 1 species
CGCGGUAAUUUGACCGUGCGAAGGUAGCAUAGUCAGUAGUCUUUUAAUUGAAGGCUUGAAUGAAAGGUUGGACGAGGGAUAAGCUGUCUCCUGUGGUGUGACUUGAAUUUAACUUUUAAGUGAAAAGGCUUGAAUUGUUUAGUGGGACGAUAAGACCCUAUAAAACUUGAUAUAAGUUUUGCUUGAUUUGUGAUUUGUAGUGAAAAGUGGUUUUGUUUAAUUUAUAUUUCGUUGGGGAGAUGUAGAUAUAAUAUGUAACUGUCUAUUUAAUUUAAUAGUUAUAACUAGUAUUUGAUCCUUCUUUGUGGAUUAAGAGAGUAAGUUACUUUAGGGAUAACAGCGUGAUUUUCUUUGAGAGUUCUUAUCGACAAGAGUAGUUGCGACCUCGAUGUUGAAUUAAAGUUUCAGCUAGGUGUAGCCGUUUAGCUGGUGGGUCUGUUCG